rnacentral:rRNA from 1 species
UGCCGGUCGCUGGCGUGGAUAGGCAUGCAGUCGAGCGGCAGCAGGCCCGCAAGGGCGCUGGCGAGCGGCGAAAGGGAGAGUAACGCGCGGGUACCUACCCUCGGGACCGGGAUAGCUGCGGGAAACUGCAAUUAAUACCGGAUAAUGUCCCAGGACCAAAGGUGUGAUUCCGCCUGAGGAGGGGCCCACGUCCUAUCAGCUUGUUGGUGAGGUAACGGCUCACCAAGGCUUCGACGGGUACGGGGUGUGAGAGCAUGCCCCCGCUCACUGGGACUGAGACACUGCCCAGACACCUACGGGUGGCUGCAGUCGAGAAUCUUCCGCAAUGGGCGAAAGCCUGACGGAGCGACGCCGCGUGCGGGAUGAAGGCCUUCGGGUUGUAAACCGCUGUCAGAGGGGAACAAAUCCAUGGGGGUUCUCCCCUAUGGUUGAGUGAUCUUCAGAGGAAGCGCAGGCUAAGUCCGUGCCAGCAGCCGCGGUAACACGGACUGCGCGAACGUUAUUCGGAAUUACUGGGCUUAAAGCGUCCGUAGGCGGCCGUGCAGGUGGGGUGUGAAAUCCCUCGGCUCAACCGAGGAAUUGCGCUCCAAACCAUACGGCUUGAGAGAGAUAGAGGUGAGCGGAACUCACGGUGGAGCGGUGAAAUGCGUUGAUAUCGUGAGGAACACCGGUGGCGAAAGCGGCUCACUGGGUCUCUUCUGACGCUGAGGGACGAAAGCUAGGGGAGCGAACGGGAUUAGAUACCCCGGUAGUCCUAGCUGUAAACGAUGAGCACUAGAUCGGGGAGACCUCCACAUCUUCCUGGUCGUAGCGAAAGUGUUAAGUGCUCCGCCUGGGGAGUAUGGUCGCAAGGCUG